rnacentral:rRNA from 1 species
GUGUCAGCAGCCGCGGUAAUACAGAGGGUGCGAACGUUGCUCGGAAUUACUGGGCGUAAAGCGCGUGUAGGCGGGAUGAUAAGUCGGAAGUGAAAUCCCUGGGCUCAACCCAGGAACUGCUUUCGAAACUGUCGUCCUCGAGUACCGGAGAGGGUGGCGGAAUUCCUGGUGUAGAGGUGAAAUUCGUAGAUAUCAGGAGGAACACCGGUGGCGAAGGCGGCCACCUGGACGGUUACUGACGCUGAGACGCGAAAGCGUGGGGAGCAAACAGGAUUAGAUACCCCCGUAGUCC